UGGGGAAUUUUGGACAAUGGGCGAAAGCCUGAUCCAGCAAUGCCGCGUGUGUGAAGAAGGCCUUCGGGUUGUAAAGCACUUUUGUCCGGAAAGAAAUCCUUGGCUCUAAUACAGUCGGGGGAUGACGGUACCGGAAGAAUAAGCACCGGCUAACUACGUGCCAGCAGCCGCGGUAAUACGUAGGGUGCAAGCGUUAAUCGGAAUUACUGGGCGUAAAGCGUGCGCAGGCGGUUUGCUAAGACCGAUGUGAAAUCCCCGGGCUCAACCUGGGAACUGCAUUGGUGACUGGCAGGCUAGAGUAUGGCAGAGGGGGGUAGAAUUCCACGUGUAGCAGUGAAAUGCGUAGAGAUGUGGAGGAAUACCGAUGGCGAAGGUAGCCCCCUGGGCCAAUACUGACGCUCAUGCACGAAAGCGUGGGGAGCAAACAGGAUUAGAUACCCUGGUAGUCCACGCCCUAAACGAUGUCAACUAGUUGUUGGGGAUUCAUUUCCUUAGUAACGUAGCUAACGCGUGAAGUUGACCGCCUGGGGAGUACGGUCGCAAGAUUAAAACUUAAAUGAAUUGACGGGGUC
rnacentral:rRNA from 1 species